ensembl:snoRNA SNORA70 Small nucleolar RNA SNORA70
CUGCAGCCAAUUGAUCUGACCAUGCUCCUUUCCUCAUGGGUGCCCAGUGUGCAAUUGCUACAAACAGCAGUCUCCUUAGUAGUGUAUGUAGCCUGUUGUUUGUAUGGGUUGCUCUAAGGGACCUUGGAGACAGCC